rnacentral:misc_RNA from 1 species
AUCACAUUCUGAACUAUUAGCUUCUUCGUGGGAGCAAUCAUUCGCUAAAGAGUAUUCACCCUGUUCUAUACAGGUUUCUUGAGAGUCAUUUUUGUCGUCAGAGACAUUACAAUUAUUACUUCCAUGUAUUUCCAUAUUCUGCAGAGUCAAAUGCAAAUGACCUUCUGAAGACUCAGAUUUUGCUGAAGAAGCAUGACCUGAUUUAGACAGCCACUUAGACCAGUCAUUACGCCUCCGGAUCUUGUCACCAUGCACUUCCAGAAUAUUUGAGCUACGCAAAGCAUCCAAAAUCAAGGGUAUAUUGGUUGUCAUCUUUUUAACCCUAUUGAAAUCAGCAAUUCUGGG